rnacentral:rRNA from 1 species
UACAGAGGUCCCGAGCGUUGUUCGGAUUCAUUGGGCGUAAAGGGUGCGUAGGCGGUCUUCUAAGUUUGAUGUGAAAUCCCGGGGCUCAACCCUGGAAUGGCAUUGAAUACUGGAGGACUAGAGUACCGGAGAGGAAACUGGAAUUUACGGUGUAGCAGUGAAAUGCGUAGAGAUCGUAAGGAAGACCAGUGGCGAAGGCGAGUUUCUGGACGGUAACUGACGCUGAGGCACGAAGGCCAGGGGGAGCAAACGGG